UACGAAGGGGGCUAGCGUUGUUCGGAAUUACUGGGCGUAAAGCGCACGUAGGCGGGUUGUUAAGUCAGGGGUGAAAUCCUGGAGCUCAACUCCAGAACUGCCUUUGAUACUGGCAACCUAGAGACUGGAAGAGGUUAGUGGAAUUCCCAGUGUAGAGGUGAAAUUCGUAGAUAUUGGGGAGAACACCAGUGGCGAAGGCGGCUAACUGGUCCAGCACUGACGCUGAGGUGCGAAAGCGUGGGGAGCAAACAGG
rnacentral:rRNA from 1 species